rnacentral:rRNA from 1 species
UGGGGGAUAUUGCACAAUGGGCGAAAGCCUGAUGCAGCGACGCCGCGUGGGGGAUGAAGGCUUUCGGGUUGUAAACCUCUUUCGCUAUCGAACAAGGCCCGCUUAGGGUGGGUUGAGGGUAGGUGGAGAAGAAGCGCCGGCUAACUACGUGCCAGCAGCCGCGGUAAUACGUAGGGCGCGAGCGUUGUCCGGAAUUAUUGGGCGUAAAGGGCUUGUAGGCGGCUUGUUGCGCCUGCUGUGAAAACGCGGGGCUUAACUUCGCGCGUGCAGUGGGUACGGGCAGGCUUGAGUGUGGUAGGGGUGACUGGAAUUCCAGGUGUAGCGGUGGAAUGCGCAGAUAUCUGGAGGAACACCGAUGGCGAAGGCAGGUCACUGCGCCAUUACUGACGCUGAGGAGCGAAAGCAUGGGUAGCGAACAGG